GGUGGGUCCUGUCCUGCUGUAGAAGCUCGUUUGGGAUCCGACUAUGAAGAAGCUCGGCUAAAGUCUACCUGUAAUGGAAGUUUAGAAGAGACGUGUUUAUAGUAGGGGCUCGAAUGGAAUUUGCUUACAGUAGAGAUCUGGAGUAGACCGCCCGCUGUAGGAGUUCAGAGUAGACCGCUCGUAGUAGAAGUUCAGAGCAGACCACUCGCUGUAGGAG
rnacentral:lncRNA from 1 species